GAUGAACGCUGGCGGCGUGCCUAAUACAUGCAAGUCGAGCGAACAGAUGAGGAGCUUGCUCCUCUGACGUUAGCGGCGGACGGGUGAGUAACACGUGGAUAACCUACCUAUAAGACUGGGAUAACUUCGGGAAACCGGAGCUAAUACCGGAUAAUAUAUUGAACCGCAUGGUUCAAUAGUGAAAGACGGUUUUGCUGUCACUUAUAGAUGGAUCCGCGCCGCAUUAGCUAGUUGGUAAGGUAACGGCUUACCAAGGCAACGAUGCGUAGCCGACCUGAGAGGGUGAUCGGCCACACUGGAACUGAGACACGGUCCAGACUCCUACGGGAGGCAGCAGUAGGGAAUCUUCCGCAAUGGGCGAAAGCUUGACGGAGCAACGCCGCGUGAGUGAUGAAGGUCCUCGGAUCGUAAAACUCUGUUAUUAGGGAAGAACAAAUGUGUAAGUAACUAUGCACGUCUUGACGGUACCUAAUCAGAAAGCCACGGCUAACUACGUG
rnacentral:rRNA from 1 species